rnacentral:rRNA from 1 species
AGCGUACACGGUGGAUGCCCUGGCAGUCAGAGGCGAUGAAGGACGUGCUAAUCUGCGAUAAGCGUCGGUAAGGUGAUAUGAACCGUUAUAACCGGCGAUUUCCGAAUGGGGAAACCCAGUGUGAUUCGUCACACUAUCAUUAACUGAAUCCAUAGGUUAAUGAGGCGAACCGGGGGAACUGAAACAUCUAAGUACCCCGAGGAAAAGAAAUCAACCGAGAUUCCCCCAGUAGCGGCGAGCGAACGGGGAGGAGCCCAGAGCCUGAAUCAGUGUGUGUGUUAGUGGAAGCGUCUGGAAAGGCGCGCGAUACAGGGUGACAGCCCCGUACACAAAAAUGCACAUAUUGUGAGCUCGAUGAGUAGGGCGGGACACGUGGUAUCCUGUCUGAAUAUGGGGGGACCAUCCUCCAAGGCUAAAUACUCCUGACUGACCGAUAGUGAACCAGUACCGUGAGGGAAAGGCGAAAAGAACCCCGGCGAGGGGAGUGAAAAAGAACCUGAAACCGUGUACGUACAAGCAGUGGGAGCACGCUUAGGCGUGUGACUGCGUACCUUUUGUAUAAUGGGUCAGCGACUUAUAUUCUGUAGCAAGGUUAACCGAAUAGGGGAGCCGAAGGGAAACCGAGUCUUAACUGGGCGUUAAGUUGCAGGGUAUAGACCCGAAACCCGGUGAUCUAGCCAUGGGCAGGUUGAAGGUUGGGUAACACUAACUGGAGGACCGAACCGACUAAUGUUGAAAAAUUAGCGGAUGACUUGUGGCUGGGGGUGAAAGGCCAAUCAAACCGGGAGAUAGCUGGUUCUCCCCGAAAGCUAUUUAGGUAGCGCCUCGUGAAUUCAUCUCCGGGGGUAGAGCACUGUUUCGGCAAGGGGGUCAUCCCGACUUACCAACCCGAUGCAAACUGCGAAUACCGGAGAAUGUUAUCACGGGAGACACACGGCGGGUGCUAACGUCCGUCGUGAAGAGGGAAACAACCCAGACCGCCAGCUAAGGUCCCAAAGUCAUGGUUAAGUGGGAAACGAUGUGGGAAGGCCCAGACAGCCAGGAUGUUGGCUUAGAAGCAGCCAUCAUUUAAAGAAAGCGUAAUAGCUCACUGGUCGAGUCGGCCUGCGCGGAAGAUGUAACGGGGCUAAACCAUGCACCGAAGCUGCGGCAGCGACGCUUAUGCGUUGUUGGGUAGGGGAGCGUUCUGUAAGCCUGUGAAGGUGUGCUGUGAGGCAUGCUGGAGGUAUCAGAAGUGCGAAUGCUGACAUAAGUAACGAUAAAGCGGGUGAAAAGCCCGCUCGCCGGAAGACCAAGGGUUCCUGUCCAACGUUAAUCGGGGCAGGGUGAGUCGACCCCUAAGGCGAGGCCGAAAGGCGUAGUCGAUGGGAAACAGGUUAAUAUUCCUGUACUUGGUGUUACUGCGAAGGGGGGACGGAGAAGGCUAUGUUGGCCGGGCGACGGUUGUCCCGGUUUAAGCGUGUAGGCUGGUUUUCCAGGCAAAUCCGGAAAAUCAAGGCUGAGGCGUGAUGACGAGGCACUACGGUGCUGAAGCAACAAAUGCCCUGCUUCCAGGAAAAGCCUCUAAGCAUCAGGUAACAUCAAAUCGUACCCCAAACCGACACAGGUGGUCAGGUAGAGAAUACCAAGGCGCUUGAGAGAACUCGGGUGAAGGAACUAGGCAAAAUGGUGCCGUAACUUCGGGAGAAGGCACGCUGAUAUGUAGGUGAAGCGACUUGCUCGUGGAGCUGAAAUCAGUCGAAGAUACCAGCUGGCUGCAACUGUUUAUUAAAAACACAGCACUGUGCAAACACGAAAGUGGACGUAUACGGUGUGACGCCUGCCCGGUGCCGGAAGGUUAAUUGAUGGGGUCAGCGCAAGCGAAGCUCUUGAUCGAAGCCCCGGUAAACGGCGGCCGUAACUAUAACGGUCCUAAGGUAGCGAAAUUCCUUGUCGGGUAAGUUCCGACCUGCACGAAUGGCGUAAUGAUGGCCAGGCUGUCUCCACCCGAGACUCAGUGAAAUUGAACUCGCUGUGAAGAUGCAGUGUACCCGCGGCAAGACGGAAAGACCCCGUGAACCUUUACUAUAGCUUGACACUGAACAUUGAGCCUUGAUGUGUAGGAUAGGUGGGAGGCUUAGAAGUGUGGACGCCAGUCUGCAUGGAGCCGACCUUGAAAUACCACCCUUUAAUGUUUGAUGUUCUAACGUUGACCCGUAAUCCGGGUUGCGGACAGUGUCUGGUGGGUAGUUUGACUGGGGCGGUCUCCUCCUAAAGAGUAACGGAGGAGCACGAAGGUUGGCUAAUCCUGGUCGGACAUCAGGAGGUUAGUGCAAUGGCAUAAGCCAGCUUGACUGCGAGCGUGACGGCGCGAGCAGGUGCGAAAGCAGGUCAUAGUGAUCCGGUGGUUCUGAAUGGAAGGGCCAUCGCUCAACGGAUAAAAGGUACUCCGGGGAUAACAGGCUGAUACCGCCCAAGAGUUCAUAUCGACGGCGGUGUUUGGCACCUCGAUGUCGGCUCAUCACAUCCUGGGGCUGAAGUAGGUCCCAAGGGUAUGGCUGUUCGCCAUUUAAAGUGGUACGCGAGCUGGGUUUAGAACGUCGUGAGACAGUUCGGUCCCUAUCUGCCGUGGGCGCUGGAGAACUGAGGGGGGCUGCUCCUAGUACGAGAGGACCGGAGUGGACGCAUCACUGGUGUUCGGGUUGUCAUGCCAAUGGCACUGCCCGGUAGCUAAAUGCGGAAGAGAUAAGUGCUGAAAGCAUCUAAGCACGAAACUUGCCCCGAGAUGAGUUCUCCCUGACUCCUUGA